rnacentral:rRNA from 1 species
UACGGGGGGAGCAAGCGUUGUUCGGAUUUACUGGGCGUAAAGGGCGCGUAGGCGGCGCAACAAGUCACUUGUGAAAUCUCCGGGCUUAACCCGGAGCGGCCAAGUGAUACUGUCGUGCUAGAGUGCGGAAGGGGCUACUGGAAUUCUCGGUGUAGCGGUGAAAUGCGUAGAUAUCGAAAGGAACACCUGCGGCGAAGGCGGGUAGCUGGGCCGACACUGACGCUGAGGCGCGAAAGCCAGGGGAGCGAACGGG